AUUGAACGCUGGCGGCAGGCCUAACACAUGCAAGUCGAACGAGUGGCGGACGGGUGAGUAAUGUCUGGGAAACUGCCCGAUGGAGGGGGAUAACUACUGGAAACGGUAGAUAAUACCGCAUACCAUCGGAUGUGCACAGAUGGGAUUAGCUAGUUGGUGGGGUAACGGCUCACCUAGGCGACGAUCCCUAGCUGGUCUGAGAGGAUGACCAGCCACACUGGAACUUGGACACGGUCCAGACUCCUACGCGAGGCAGCCGUGGGGAAUAUUGCACAAUGGGCGCAAGCCUGAUGCAUCAAUGCCGCGUGUAUGAAGACGGCCUUCGGGUUGUAGAGUACUUUCAGCGAGGAGGCGUUACUCGCAGAAGAAGCACCGGCUAACUCCGUGCCAGCAGCCGCGGUAAUUC
rnacentral:rRNA from 1 species